GACGAACGCUGGCGGCGUGCUUAACACAUGCAAGUCGAACGGAAAGGCCAUGAUUUUGUGGGGUGCUCGAGUGGCGAACGCGUGUGUAAAACGUGAGUAAACUGCACUUGUCUUUGGGAUAACUUCUGGAAACAGGGGCUAAUAUAGGAUAGGAGCUACUGCUGCACGGUGGGGGAUGGAAAGUUUCGGCGGUUGGGGAUGGUCUAGAGGGUUAUGGGCUUGUUAGUGGGGUAGUGGCUUUCCAAGGUUUUGACGGGUAGCCGGCCUUGGAGGGGGAACAGCCACAAGGGGACUAAGGGACGGCGCAGUCUCCUACGGGAGGCAGCAGUGGAGAAUAUUGCACAGUGGGCGGAAGCGUGUGACAGCGACGCUGCGAUCGGGAUGACCUCCUUCUGGUUGAGAACCACUUUCGCCUGAAACGAAGCGGGAGUGACGGUAAUGAGUAAGAAAGCACCGGCUAACUACGUG
rnacentral:rRNA from 1 species